GACAGGACUCUGAAGAAAAAAAUUUCUCCCUCCAUUGAAACCAGAGGAAUCGGUUUAAAUCGAGUGACGAUGUUUUUCUGUUAGGGUUUGUAGUUAGGGUUUGGUAGAUUAACAGUUUGGGUUUUGUAUCUUUUUGAUUAAAUCGAUUAGUGAGCUUUUGGUGUUCAGUUUCUCUUCCUCCCUUCUGCUGAUACCUUCUUCCUCUCUUUCUCUCUUCUCGAAUUCCAUUGAUGCUGGUUCUCGAAGAAGAAAUCGUACUUGGGAAUGAAAUCGGAGGAUUCACCAUCAAAUCGAGAGAUGAAGAUAAGUUUUUCUUCUUUAGUUUUUAUUUUAUUAAAUUUUAAUUUAACCUCUCAAAAGAAAAAUUAUUUAAGAAGAAAUGAUCUACUUUAAUAUUUUUUUCUGAUUAGUAAUUUAAGUUAAGAUUUAUAUAAUCUCAUAUUUAUCUCUCUUUUGAACUUAAAAUUUCGAAAAUAUUUCACCAAACAUAUUCUAGGGUUCGUAACUGAGAUGUUAUAGAUCUCUCGAUCCACUUUCUUGAUUGAAAAUCAAUCUUUAGAUUAGGAAUCAGAGCAUCUCAAUCUCUAUUACCCGUAAAAACUUUUUGAAUUUAUUUCACUUUCAAUUUUCUACUUAAUCUGAACCUUUUUUUUUUUUUUUUGUUCAGUGAUUGUUAUUGCUUCAAAUGAAAGAUUGCUUCUAGCUGUUCCUGUAUUCGCAAAGAAGAAUUAAGGUUUUCAACAUAUGAUUUCCUAUAUCUAAUUAAAAUUUUCGUUGGCUGUUUCAGAAUCAGUUCUAUAAGGUUCCUGUAAUUUCAAAGAGAAAAGGUUACUGUAAUUGCUGGGUUAAACUGUUAAGCAUCUCCAAUGUUGUCAUCAAAGCAAGAUCAAUAUGGAGUUGGAUCUGUUAGAAUUAAGUUAUUAAGAGCGUUGGCAUUCUUAGUUAUCCAUGGCUUGGAGUGUUUGGGUUUUACAACAAUAGCAUCUGCAGAUGAGGCAGAACAUGGCUUAAAGAUUCAAAGUUGUCCAAGGCUUAGAGCGUUGGCAUUCUUCGUUUACCACUUACCAGCAAGUCUGUGCAUCUUGUCAGUCAAUGUCGUUGAUUUCAUACCAUGAUCUUGUGGGUGUUGUAUACACAAAAGUGGAGACAAAGGCUAUGGAAGCAGAGAUUGAGGUGGUUUAUGGGCCAAAUGAUUAAGGUGAGAUGUUUACCUGCCCAGGGAAGCUUAGCGAUCGUAUGUAUAUGAACAUGCAGCAGGAUUUGCUAAUGGAGGAGCAUAUCCUCCUGAUCUUAGCCUCAUAACUAAGGGGUUCAUAAGUUGGAUUGCAGGAUUAUCACGUUAGUGAAGCAUGAUGUUCAGCACUAUUUCUCAGGUGAAUGCGUUAAUACUUGGAUACUGAGCCCUUUAUCUCACUUCAGAUUUUGUUCGGUCCAGGCGAUCGAAGCUGUUGAUGUUGCUGAGUUAGGGUUAGGUUAUUUCAAUAUACUUUCAAUGAUAGGAUGGAGCUUUAGCAUUCUAUAUACUUUCAAUAUAUUUUCCUUAACAGGACGUUCUAACAAUGGAGACGGGCAUCGUACAAAACUCACCACCUAACAAAAAAUUGUGUAGUUUGUGGGUAUCGAGAUUUCUGCGAAGUAUACUUACUCUCCAUCCUUUAGGGGCGUAGCUUGUAAUAGAACAAAGCUUUGGUGCAGCUAAAGUGAUUAAAGAUGGUGUCACUGUUGCUGAAGCAUUGAGUCGAAGGACAGAAUAACAACAUUGGUGCCAGCCUUGAAAAUCAAGUAGCAAAUGCUACCAACAAUAUCGCAAAGGCCCAGGACAAGAAGUCAGUUUGUGAUAGUAAAGUUGGAAAGGGAAAAAGCUAAGUCCUAUGGGCUAGAUAUCUAGCUGCUAGAUUGGCCAUCCACGUCAGCUAGGGCAACCUUCUAAGUCCUAUGGGAUGGCUAAUCUAGCAGCUAGAUUAGAAAACCACGUCAGCGGGACCACCAUCUAGCGCUAAAAGGUUCAGCGCUGAGCGCUGUUUGGUUCAGCGUUUUAAAUCUCAGCCGUUAGAUAAGAAAAUUUUCUCUCAGUGCUGAAUGGUUCAACGUUUUGGUUACUUUUUGAGCGAUGAACGGUUCAGCUUUUGAAACUAGCUGCUAGUUGAACUGCGAGCAAAUGCUAGGAGAGAAAAGUAGCAGGUACAAGUGUUAACUUUUUUCCCACACUUAUUUUUUGAUUUGCAACAUUUUUGGCCAAUCUAGCAGCUCAAUCUAGCCCAUAGGAUUUGCAACACUUUUUGGCCAAUCAAUCAGCUCAAUCGAGGGCUUGGCUACUGCUGAAGGUGUUUCAUCAUAUGAUAUGUCCAAACGUCAAGUAUUAUUGCUAACUCAGAAGUAUUCAAGUUGCACCUUCCAAGAAUUUAGGAUUACUUAUGGCUUGCCAAGGAUGGCAUGAAAAUACAGGGAUAUAAUAGAACUCAAGCAUGGGAUACGUCUUUUGUUGUUCAACCAUCCUGCAGUACAGACUGGUGAAAUAUCAUCUUCUGCUCCUGAAACACUAUUGUAGUGUAUCAAAACAGCUACUGAUUUGGUAAUACUACUCUACCUGCAUGUAGUAUUUAUCUUAAUGUUCAAACAAAGAUGCUAAAAAGAUUUAUCUUUCUGUGUAUGUACCAAUCUUGUUGUUCAUGGUGGAUCUGAUAUAUUUUUAUGAUCAACAACAUAAUGAUUCUAUUUGUCAUCCAACUACAAUCACUUGUUGAUUAUAAGAAAUAUUAUGGUUUUACUUAGUUUGGAGUUUUGUUUGUUUUUUAGU